ensembl:lncRNA
CUGGAGUCGGAGCACGUGCCAGGAUGUUUUAUUGCCGCCGCGGCUGCGGCCGGGGCCCAGAGGAUGUGUGUGUGCGUGCGUGUGUGAGUGUGUGUGCGCGCGCCCCGGGGGCAGGGAGGCGGAGGCCGGCGGCGGGCGGCCGGGAGCGGGGGCCGCCUCUAGUCCCCGGGAGAAGCCAAGAAGUGCUGGGGAUAGAAUUCAGAACCUUUAAAAAAUGUGUAUCAGCCUGCUUCAGCUUAUAUCAUCAUCACCACCACCACCACCACCACCACCAUCAUCACCACCAUCACCAUCAUCACCAUCAUCACCACCAUCAUCAUCACCACCAUCAUCACCAUCAUCACCGCCAUCAUCAUCACCACCACCACCAUCACCAUCAUCAUCAUCACCACCAUCAUCAUCAUCAUCACCAUCACCAUCAUCAUCCUAUGUAUGGGUGUUUUGUCUGAAUGUGUGUCUGUGUACCACAUGGGUGCACGGCGUCCUUGCAUCUCCUGGCACUGAGGUUACAGCCCGUUGUGAACUGGCACGGGGGUGUUAGAACUGAACUCAGAUCCACUGGAAGAGCAGCCAUUGCUCUCAGGCGCUGAGCCAUCUCUCCAACCCCGUUCAGCUCUUUAAAGAAUCUCUCUGGUUGCUCUGAGGUAGACAGAGAUGAAGGCAAGGAGACCAUGGUAGUACUAAUUUGGGUAGAGGCGUAGAUGGCUUGGACCAGAAUGGUAGCCGGAAAGGGACUGGACUGGUUUGUACAAGAAAAGUAAGCUGAUCACGGCUGCAGCUCUCCCAGGUGGCCGGACGUGAGGCCUCUACCCUCCCUCCUGGUGUGGGGCUGUAGCGGGCUCCUUAACUCUCUCUAUUGCCCGUCAUUGAAACCUUCCAUAACCUGCACAUUUUCCUUUAUACUUCACGCAGAUUCAUCGUUCCUUUAAUAUAAAACUCCUAUCUUUGCCUCUCCCUCUGCCCAACCCUUUAAGUAAAACGCAAUUUCCCCGUUUCCUUUCACUGUGGCACUUUGUACUCUG